ensembl:lncRNA
GUAAGUCCCCCUCGCUGACUUCUCUAAGGCCACCCCGCACCCCGCCUGAAACCCUGCAGACCCCAGCACCCCCGCCACCCGGGUCCACCAGCUUUCUUCACCUGGCCCUCCAAGCUAAUAAAACACCCGGCCAACAGACAGCUAUUUCACCAUGCCCACCCCCACAGUCUGGCUGGGGCUCGGGCCCUCCAGCACCAUCAGUCCAGGUGACCCUGUAGUAACAGUCACAGGACUGAGCCCCGCAGCCAGAGCUGGUCCUGCACAGUUCCCCUCAUGGGCUGUGUAAACUCAGGGUUCCCUUCCCACACCCAUGUGGGACGCAGGUCCCUUCAGCCCUGAUUAAAGAAGCAGGGCUUUGUCCCCUAGCAGGCCAUUCACAUCUGGCUCUGGAACACAAACACACACACACACACACACACACACACACACUAUCUAGCCCCUUCCAGACCCUGCCACUGACCCCUCCCCAGGGCCUCUCCUGACUCUAGGCUGAUGAAUCAGCCUUGCUGAGCUCCGGGGUGGUGAGAUCACCCUGACCCGUGCAGUAGCUGGUUGGAAUGGGUCUGUCACUGCCUCCCAAGAAAAGGAACAGACAGGGUCUUAGUCAUCUGGAACAGGGGUUUUGGAGUCAGAUCAACCAAGGCUCCAAUCUGGCCUCUCCCAUUCCCUGGCUGUGUGAUCUUGUGCCUCCCUAAGUCUCAGGGUCUCCAUUUCUUGAAAAUGAGGAUAUUCCUGCUUUACAAAGUGGCUGAGAGGAUGAAGAUGCAAACUCACCAUGGUAGGAGGCAAGGACCUGCACAACCACAGCUGUGUGACCACAGGCCAGACGACUCACCCUUUGAACCCUGGCUCCCCUGCUGCCCUGUGAGGGGGAUAAUAACCUUGGCUGGGCCAUGGCCCAGGCUGUGGGCACUCAGGUACUGGGUAUUGAACUCAGGACCCUGUGCUUGCAAGGCAGGCUAGGUGCCACUGAGCUAAAUCCCCGGCCCAUCAACAUCACCAUCAAUAGAAGCUGAAGAUCCACCCGUGUGAUGUGCAGGCCCCAUUUCCAGGACUCUGUCCUUUGGGAGUGCUGUCCCAGGGCCCCUGAGAUACACACACAGAUAUGUUUAUGGUUCAUGAGCUACAGAGCAUGGGAAACCACCCAAGUGUUCCUUAGUAAGGGGCCGGGCAGUCAAGUUUCAGCACAGCUGGACAACAGCAAACCCACACAGCUGUGAGAAAGCAUGUCCUGGGAAGCCAGGUGCAGUAGCACAUGCCUAUAGUCCUACUUACUUGGCAGGCUCAGGCAAGAGGCUCAGGCUCAGGCUCAGCCAACGUCAUUCUGGGCAAUGCAGGAAGACUACAGCUCUUAAAAGAAAUAGCAGAAAUGCGUCCCAAAAAGAAGUGAAAAAAAGCUGUAAUCCAAAUAUUCUGAGAGGCAGAGGAAGGAGGAUCACAAGUUUGAGCCCAUCCUGAGCAACUUAGCAAGACCCUGUCUCACAAUAAAAAAUUAAAAGGGCUGGGGUUGUAGCUCAGUGUGAAGGCCCUGGGUUCAAUCCCCAGUACUGCCCAAAACAGCAAGCUGUGGUAUAUAGGAUCCCAUUUUUGUAAAACUUACACAUAUAUGUACAGAUAAUUGUGUAUCUAAACACAUAUAUAAGCAUAGAAUUUUGUUUUGUUUUUUGAGACAGGGUCUUGUUAUAUAGUUCAGGUUGGCCUUGAACUGUGAGC